UUAAGCGACUAAGCGUACACGGUGGAUGCCCUGGCAGUCAGAGGCGAUGAAGGGCGUGCUAAUCUGCGAUAAGCGCCGGUAAGGUGAUAUGAACCGUUAUAACCGGCGAUACCCGAAUGGGGAAACCCAGUGUGAUUCGUCACACUAUCAUUAACUGAAUCCAUAGGUUAAUGAGGCGAACCGGGGGAACUGAAACAUCUAAGUACCCCGAGGAAAAGAAAUCAACCGAGAUUCCCCCAGUAGCGGCGAGCGAACGGGGAGGAGCCCAGAGCCUGAAUCAGCAUGUGUGUUAGUGGAAGCGUCUGGAAAGGCGCGCGAUACAGGGUGACAGCCCCGUACACAAAAGCGCAUGUGCUGUGAGCUCGAUGAGUAGGGCGGGACACGUGGUAUCCUGUCUGAAUAUGGGGGGACCAUCCUCCAAGGCUAAAUACUCCUGACUGACCGAUAGUGAACCAGUACCGUGAGGGAAAGGCGAAAAGAACCCCGGCGAGGGGAGUGAAAAAGAACCUGAAACCGUGUACGUACAAGCAGUGGGAGCACAGGUUUACCUGUGUGACUGCGUACCUUUUGUAUAAUGGGUCAGCGACUUAUAUUCUGUAGCAAGGUUAACCGAAUAGGGGAGCCGGAGGGAAACCGAGUCUUAAUUGGGCGUUAAGUUGCAGGGUAUAGACCCGAAACCCGGUGAUCUAGCCAUGGGCAGGUUGAAGGUUGGGUAACACUAACUGGAGGACCGAACCGACUAAUGUUGAAAAAUUAGCGGAUGACCUGUGGCUGGGGGUGAAAGGCCAAUCAAACCGGGAGAUAGCUGGUUCUCCCCGAAAGCUAUUUAGGUAGCGCCUCGUGAAUUCAUCUCCGGGGGUAGAGCACUGUUUCGGCUAGGGGGCCAUCCCGGCUUACCAACCCGAUGCAAACUGCGAAUACCGGAGAAUGUUAUCACGGGAGACACACGGCGGGUGCUAACGUCCGUCGUGAAGAGGGAAACAACCCAGACCGCCAGCUAAGGUCCCAAAGUCAUGGUUAAGUGGGAAACGAUGUGGGAAGGCCCAGACAGCCAGGAUGUUGGCUUAGAAGCAGCCAUCAUUUAAAGAAAGCGUAAUAGCUCACUGGUCGAGUCGGCCUGCGCGGAAGAUGUAACGGGGCUAAACCAUGCACCGAAGCUGCGGCAGCGACACUGUGUGUUGUUGGGUAGGGGAGCGUUCUGUAAGCCUGUGAAGGUGUGUCGUGAGGCAUGCUGGAGGUAUCAGAAGUGCGAAUGCUGACAUAAGUAACGAUAAAGCGGGUGAAAAGCCCGCUCGCCGGAAGACCAAGGGUUCCUGUCCAACGUUAAUCGGGGCAGGGUGAGUCGACCCCUAAGGCGAGGCCGAAAGGCGUAGUCGAUGGGAAACGGGUUAAUAUUCCCGUACUUGGUGUUACUGCGAAGGGGGGACGGAGAAGGCUAUGUUGGCCGGGCGACGGUUGUCCCGGUUUAAGCGUGUAGGCUGGUUUUCCAGGCAAAUCCGGAAAAUCAAGGCUGAGGCGUGAUGACGAGGCACUACGGUGCUGAAGCAACAAAUGCCCUGCUUCCAGGAAAAGCCUCUAAGCAUCAGGUAACAUCAAAUCGUACCCCAAACCGACACAGGUGGUCAGGUAGAGAAUACCAAGGCGCUUGAGAGAACUCGGGUGAAGGAACUAGGCAAAAUGGUGCCGUAACUUCGGGAGAAGGCACGCUGACACGUAGGUGAAGUGAUUUACUCAUGGAGCUGAAGUCAGUCGAAGAUACCAGCUGGCUGCAACUGUUUAUUAAAAACACAGCACUGUGCAAACACGAAAGUGGACGUAUACGGUGUGACGCCUGCCCGGUGCCGGAAGGUUAAUUGAUGGGGUCAGCGCAAGCGAAGCUCCUGAUCGAAGCCCCGGUAAACGGCGGCCGUAACUAUAACGGUCCUAAGGUAGCGAAAUUCCUUGUCGGGUAAGUUCCGACCUGCACGAAUGGCGUAAUGAUGGCCAGGCUGUCUCCACCCGAGACUCAGUGAAAUUGAACUCGCUGUGAAGAUGCAGUGUACCCGCGGCAAGACGGAAAGACCCCGUGAACCUUUACUAUAGCUUGACACUGAACAUUGAGCCUUGAUGUGUAGGAUAGGUGGGAGGCUUUGAAGUGUGGACGCCAGUCUGCAUGGAGCCGACCUUGAAAUACCACCCUUUAAUGUUUGAUGUUCUAACGUGGACCCGUUACCCGGGUUGCGGACAGUGUCUGGUGGGUAGUUUGACUGGGGCGGUCUCCUCCUAAAGAGUAACGGAGGAGCACGAAGGUUGGCUAAUCCUGGUCGGACAUCAGGAGGUUAGUGCAAUGGCAUAAGCCAGCUUGACUGCGAGCGUGACGGCGCGAGCAGGUGCGAAAGCAGGUCAUAGUGAUCCGGUGGUUCUGAAUGGAAGGGCCAUCGCUCAACGGAUAAAAGGUACUCCGGGGAUAACAGGCUGAUACCGCCCAAGAGUUCAUAUCGACGGCGGUGUUUGGCACCUCGAUGUCGGCUCAUCACAUCCUGGGGCUGAAGUAGGUCCCAAGGGUAUGGCUGUUCGCCAUUUAAAGUGGUACGCGAGCUGGGUUUAGAACGUCGUGAGACAGUUCGGUCCCUAUCUGCCGUGGGCGCUGGAGAACUGAGGGGGGCUGCUCCUAGUACGAGAGGACCGGAGUGGACGCAUCACUGGUGUUCGGGUUGUCAUGCCAAUGGCACUGCCCGGUAGCUAAAUGCGGAAGAGAUAAGUGCUGAAAGCAUCUAAGCACGAAACUUGCCCCGAGAUGAGUUCUCCCUGAGACUUAGAGUCUCCUGAAGGAACGUUGAAGACGACGACGUUGAUAGGCCGGGUGUGUAAGCGCAGCGAUGCGUUGAGCUAACCGGUACUAAUGAACCGUGAGGCUUAACCUU
rnacentral:rRNA from 1 species